rnacentral:rRNA from 1 species
GGGGAAUAUUGGACAAUGGGCGAAAGCCUGAUCCAGCAAUGCCGCGUGAGUGAUGAAGGCCUUAGGGUUGUAAAGCUCUUUUACCAGGGAUGAUAAUGACAGUACCUGGAGAAUAAGCUCCGGCUAACUCCGUGCCAGCAGCCGCGGUAAUACGGAGGGAGCUAGCGUUGUUCGGAAUUACUGGGCGUAAAGCGCACGUAGGCGGCGACUCAAGUCAGAGGUGAAAGCCCGGGGCUCAACCCCGGAACUGCCUUUGAAACUAGGUUGCUAGAAUCUUGGAGAGGUCAGUGGAAUUCCGAGUGUAGAGGUGAAAUUCGUAGAUAUUCGGAAGAACACCAGUGGCGAAGGCGACUGACUGGACAAGUAUUGACGCUGAGGUGCAAAAGCGUGGGGAGCAAAC